UAUGAUUGCACGACCCAUGGCUCUCUAUACAGUUGGUGUUCUCUAGAAGCAAAAUAUUCAGGGAAAUGGAAAUAUUGCACGAAGGAUGACCAUCCCCCAUGUGUCUUCCCCUUUAACUAUAAUGGCAAAGUGUAUACGAGAUGCACGACCGAUGGGAGUAUAUUUAAAAAGUCGUGGUGCUCACUCACUAAAGACUUCGACAAGGAUGGAGCUUGGAAGAACUGCUACGACUAGUAGCACAGGAGGGACCCUACUCACAGCCAUGGAUCCAGUCAAGCCUUUGAAACCGAAGGGCAGAAAGCCAAAACAUCUCAAGCAUGGAGGGCAUACUCUGAGUGACAGAGGGCGACAUCCUUUCCCUGCAA